GGACGGUUGUGAGUGUGUGUGUUUGUGUUGGGGGAGCAUAUCCUUUGGAUGUGAACGGAGAAGUUGGGGCCUUGGUUGUCGCUGGCAGCUGAUUCAUGAGGGUAACCAUUUUAUCUUGUGAGGGCAGCCAUCUUCUAUCCCAAGGGCAGCCAUCUUCUAUCCCAAGGGCAGCCAUCUUCUAUCCUGAGGGAAGCUGGCCUGAGGAUGAAGCCAGAAUAUGGAGAAGAGGAGAAGGAGAUGGCUGAGAAGCAGAACGGAAACCUGAACUGCAUUUUUCUUAGAGCAAGAAUUACAUCAAUUCUUCAAGCCAAGUUGAGCACUGUUGGUUUCUGCUACUUGGAACUGAAUAAACUCUGACAGAUACUGUACAGGGAACAGUACUUGGGGAGCUCCACUUCAUCUGAGGCCUUCGUGAGUGGCUUGUGUCACAUUCCUGGCUGUUCAGGCAUCAGUCCUGGUUUCCUGGUGAGCUCUCUGCUGACUCCACCCAGAGCUCCCUUGCUUCCGUCUCUGCAGCAGCUACCUCCGUUCUCACACAUGGCUUCUUCUGAGUUUUCUUAUUUCAGCCAGUACCAUGGAACUCUCCUGACCUUGUGGGCUUUGGGCAGAAAUAACUCCACUCCCCACUUCUCUCCUAAAUUACUGGCAAUGGUGAUACUGACCAUGCAGGGAGAAACCUGAGCUGUUAAUGCUAGGAGCGUCAAGCUGUUGGUAGUGAAGCCAUCAUCCUCUCCAAGUUCCCAGGUAGGAAACAUUCCUCUCUUCUUGCUCUCCACCCAGUCAUAAGGUCUUGUCAAUAUUUUUCUUUGCACUGUGUUUUUGCACUAUGUCUUUCAGAUACUUCUUUGUGAAAAUGAUGCACCAGACUCUCAUUUGUCAUCACUGGGAUUACUGUGAUCUUGUCUUGAAUUUCUACGAGUUUCACAUCCACGGUGGUAACUUAACCUGUCACUGUCUUGUUGCCUACACCUGCAUUACCCAGAACUACAGCCCAGGCACAGGCCCCUUCCAGGAUUCAGGUGGUCUCCAGUGAGUGAAUCAAAUAUUUUUUGUGUGAAUCUGUUCCCCCUACCUCAUGGCUCUCAGCUGUAGACCUUCUUUCAUGUUUGGCAGGUAAAGCUGUGGGACCAGAGGUGGCUUCAUAGUGAUGCUAUUGAAACUGAGCUUUGCUUGCCUGGAUCCCCUCCUAAGAUCCCGGAGGGGCCCUAGCUUUGCGUUCACAUGGUCAUACAAAUUUGAAAAUUUGCUAAACUAGACCAGGUGUGGUGGCUUAUGCUUGUAAUCCUAGUGCUUUGGGAGGCUGAGAUGGGAGGAUCAUUUGAGGCCAGGAAUUCAAGGCCAGCCUGAGAAACAUAUUGAAACCUUGGCUCUAGAAAAUAUUAAACAAACAAACAAAAAAAUUAGCUAGACACGGUGGCACAUACCUGUAGUCCCAGCUACUUGGGAGUAUAAGGUGGGAAGAUGGCUUGAGGCCAGGAUUUCGUGGCUGCAGGGAUCCAGGAUCAUGCUUGCAUGGUCUUGGCUCACUGCAACCUCUGCGGUGCAGGUUCAAGCGAUUCUCUUUCCUCAGCCUCCCUAAUAACUGGGAUUACAGGCACCUGCCACCGUGCCUGGCUAAUUUUUGUAUUUUUAGUGG
rnacentral:lncRNA from 1 species